CGCAAUUAAAAAAACAGGACCCACUCCCGUCCCACGUCCCGUCUCCCAACUCCCAAGUCCCAAUCUCCCCCACCUCUCUCUCCCGAUCUGUCCUCUCUCUCGACCUCAUGAGAAAAAUCGCCGCCGUCGCCUCCGCCCCAACACUCGUCCGCCACGAUGAACUGCCCAUCUCCAUCGCCGUUCGAUGCUCGUCUCAGUCACCGUGGCGCAGCCCGUGCAAGCCGCCCUUGUACGGCCUCCUCGCCUCCGCCGCCGCAACAACCGCCGCUUCCAUGGACUACGUCGACGAGCGGCCAACCAGAUCCAGUGCAGCGCUGCCGAUGUCUGGGUGGAAGAUGAGCGUGAGCUUCCGGGGUCAGCAUACCACCGGGAAAGAGGGCAGACGGAUGAGAGGGAGGCUCUCCAAGGAGGAAGCCGGCCAGCUUGUCACCAGGGGAAGCCGACCAGCAUAUAUAGGCAUGGUUGUCGUUGGCAGAGAUUGUGUAGGGCUGGACUAUCUUUGAGAUCCUGCGGUACAUGUCGGAGCAUAACUGGUCGGCGUACGAGGAGGCCCUCAAGGCCAAUCCGGUUCUUGCCAAGAUGAUGAUCAGCGGUGUCGUCUACUCCCUCGGCGACUGGAUAGCCCAGGGUGCUUGAGCGCGACGACACGCCUACUUAGUUCCUAGCGCUCGCGAACGCCGGAGUUGGACGCGCCCAUGCAUGCAUUUUAGCUCUGAGGACGGCAUCGUGAACGCACGUACUCGGGUGCUCCUCAGCAGCAGUUGAUCCACGUGGGGUCCUACUUGAGUUCCUCCGUCCCCUGGCAGCGAGGCAGCAGGUCCCCGUCCCCCUCUCCGUCUCCGGCAUGUUGAUCCCGGUGGCGUCACAGUGGUGGUGUGUGGUGUCAUGUCACAAUAAGGUAGCAUCUAUUCUUUCCCCACCCUAAUUUUUGUGGUCAGCGUCCGGAGCCCAACCUACCGAUCGUUGUCCCCAAACCUCACCGACUUCUUCGGUGGGUGCUCUUUCUUCCCCCUCUCUCGUUUCACUUGACGCUGAUAGCUGAUUGCUAGCAUCCUCGGUUGUGCUCAUGUCUUCUAAAUUUGGCAUGGUAUGCAUUUGCUUGAGAUGAGGGUAUGGGAUGGAGGUGGCUCUAAUUUCGAGGCUGUGGUUUAUUGGGCUUAUAAUGUCGACAUGAUUAAUGAUGUGAACCGUAUGUUUUGUUUUCCACAAAAUAGGUUUUUUCUAUGCAAUAUGAGGCUAGGUUUCAAGUAACAUGUGCCUUGCAUUCGAUGGCUAUACAGUAACAUGCUCUCGGAGAAAAGGUUAUGUUUCAUGUUAUUAUUAUCUAUUGCCUUGCAUUCGAUGGAAAAUUGACAACCGCUAUGUCAUAUCUUUGCCCACUCAUGAUGCCGAUAAAUAGUUCAAAAAAAUUAGAAAGACUUAUAUAUUUCACUAUGCUAGCUACAUAUGUUUAUGAUGGUUUAUUUUCACCAAAUUUUGUUGCACUUUGACAGUAGACUAUGUGAUAAUUUGUAAUAGAGUUCAGAGAAACUGGCAACACACAGUUCCAAAAGAGCGCAAUGCACAUGGAAGGAAAGACUGUAGUAUUAGCUGUUGUAAUCUAUGAAAUUUCGUACUCCGUGAGUAAGGUUAAGAAUGACCAACUGAUUGAACUUGUUCACAACGUUAACAGUAAUCAUGAUAAACUUAGUAUUCCUGACUUUCUAUUUCUUGUUGUUUUCUACUGUGGACCUAUUUGCAGGUUUUUACAGAGGAAUUAGUUUAGGUGUUACUGGUUCACUUGCUACAGCUGAAACAUAUUUUGCUGUUAUUGUUAUUGAAUGAACUAAGAUAUGGCUGGAGCACACUAAUCCUAAUCUAAGAGGUCAUUUCUCUCACUUAUUUGUUGGAGGAGUUAGAGAGAGAAUUUUUUUUAUGACCACUGUGUUUUCUUUCCAGAAAAUCUGCAUGACGUGGCCUAAAUUUAUAUUGGUUCUCAGCAUGUUACUAGGAUGCAUGUGGUCUUUGUAUAUUAAAACUUUUCCGGUCUCUGUUUUGGCUCAUGUAAUACUUACCGAUACGAUUUACUUGUUCAUCAGAAUAAUGUGUUGAUUCCUUGACACAACAUAAGCUUUUUUUCAAGCUCAUUCCAGGAGAUACACUUGCAUCUUUUAUCUAUGUGACGUGCCUUGUGAAAUUAUGAAACAAGGAAUGCAUGACCAAGGCUCCAACAAAUCAUCAGCACUAAAUGCUACAGAAGGAAAUGAUCUAUGCCAUCUGUUUUAUCUAGAGAGAUCAUGAUGUGAAGGUUUUCAAUGUAGGGUACUGGUACCAAGUGCUUGUUGCUAUAACAUAUUUCUUUUGUUUUCUAAUAGAGAAAUAAAUGAGUUCUUUCGGCCCAACAAAAGAAAACAUAUAGUAUCUUCAAGGAAGCAACCUUUUGAGUCAACAAAUUAUCCCCCCAUGCCAAAACUGAAUACAUGGUAGUCUAGCAUACUCGGAUACUGUGAUACAAGUAGGAGUAUCAAAUACAAGACAUUUCUUUUUUUAUGCGCACAUUCCUGGAAGCAUGAAUGUAUGUUCAUGGAGAAAACAUGGUCAAUUGUUGUAUAAAAAAACUGAUAAUGUUCAAUACAUGUUUAGCAUGGGCAGCCAGAUAUUCUUGUCAAUUACUAAGCAUAUGGAUAAUUCAUCUCUUAACCAUUGCAAUCUUGCCUCGGAUCUUUCUGUUUGCUCCGCCAGACAAAACCUGGUAGCAAUGGGUUGGCAAGUGGGACAAACAGGAAAAGAGAACUGAGAAGAAGUGCCAAGUGGUCUGCUUUGAGUUAGGGGAAUUCAAGGUGCAUUUGUGGUAUUGUUUCUGCAUUAUGCUUGUAUUCACGAAUUGUUCGGUAAAAAUGGAAGCAAAUGUGUAAUAGUCAAGCAGAUCAUCAAGGAACGAAUAGCUAAGCAGAAUUACUUUUGUUUUUAUUUGCAUAUGAUGCCAAUAGCUUUACUUGAAACAUAUUUGAAGUCGAAGUGACAUCUUGUUGUUUUGGGGUAUUAUGUGACUAUUUUUCGUACACAUGUGAAAGAAACUUGAAUUACGUGAGGCGAAUGGAUGUAUAGGGGAGGCAAGUGUAAGGUGAUGUUCUUGAAAUGCAGUGAUAAUUGCAUGGCACUCAUUCUUGAAGUUAUAAUGAUG
rnacentral:rRNA from 1 species